rnacentral:rRNA from 1 species
UACGUAGGGUGCAAGCGUUGUCCGGAAUUAUUGGGCGUAAAGAGCUCGUAGGCGGUCUGUCGCGUCGGCUGUGAAAAACUCGGGGGCUCAACCCCCGAGCCUGCAGUCGAUACGGGCAGACUAGAGUUCGGUAGGGGAGACUGGAAUUCCUGGUGUAGCGGUGAAAUGCGCAGAUAUCAGGAGGAACACCGGUGGCGAAGGCGGGUCUCUGGGCCGUAACUGACGCUGAGGAGCGAAAGCGUGGGGAGCGAACAGG